rnacentral:rRNA from 1 species
AACUAACAAGGAUUCCCCUAGUAGCGGCGAGCGAAGCGGGAAGAGCUCAAAUUUAUAAUCUGGCACUUUCAGUGUCCGAGUUGUAAUCUCUAGAAGUGUUUUCCGCGUUGGACCGCACACAAGUCUGUUGGAAUACAGCGGCACAGUGGUGACACCCCCGUACACGGUGGGACGCCCAGCGCUUUGUGAUACACUUUCGAAGAGUCGAGUUGUUUGGGAAUGCAGCUCAAAUUGGGUGGUAAAUUCCAUCUAAAGCUAAAUAUUGGCGAGAGACCGAUAGCGAACAAGUACCGUGAGGGAAAGAUGAAAGCACUUUGGAAAGAGAGUUAACAGUACGUGAAAUUGUUGGAAGGGAAACGCUUGAAGUCAGACUUGCUUGCCGGAGCUGCUUCGGUUUGCAGGCCAGCAUCAGUUUUCCGGGGUGGAUAAUGGCGGUAGAAGGUAGCAGCUUCAGCUGUGUUAUAGCUUUCCGCUGGAUACAUCCUGGGGGACUGAGGAACGCAGCGUGCUUUUAGCGGGGGUUUCGACCUCUUCACGCUUAGGCUGGUGUAAUGGCUUUAAA